UGAAUUUGCCUCAAAGGUUUGAGGAUUGUAGUUGCCCUCCAUUGAUGAAGCUUUUGUUGGCACCAUAAAUUGGUUUUGUUUCACACUAUCUUGAUCAAGAGUGUGUGAAGCUUUUGAGAAUUGUGGUUGCCUUCCAUUCAUAAAGCUCUUGUUGGCACCAUAAAUUGGUUUUGCUUCACACUGUCUUGAUCAAGAGUGUGUGAAGCUUUUGAGAAUUGUUGUUGAACUCCUUUGAUGAAGCUUUUGUUAGCACCAUAAAUUAGUUUUGCUUCACACUGUCUUGAUCAAGAAUGUGUGAAGCUUUUGAGAAUUGUGGUUGCCCUCCAUUGAUGAAGCUCUUGUUGGCACCAUAAAUUGAUUUUGCUUCACACUGUCUUGAUCAAGAGUGUGUGAAGCUUUUGAGAAUUGUGGUUGAACUCCUUUGAUGAAGCUUUUGUUAGCACCAUAAAUUGGUUUUACUUCACACUGUCUUGAUCAAGAGUGUGUGAAGCUUUUGAGAAUUGUGGUUGAACUCCUUUGAUGAAGCUUUUGUUGGCACCAUCAAUUGGUUUUACUUCACACUGUCUUGAUUAAGAGUGUGUGAAGCUUUUGAGAAUUGUGGUUACCCUCCAUUGAUGAAGCUCUUGUUAGCACUAUAAAUUGGUUUUGCUUCACAUUGUCUUGAUCAAGAGUGUGUGAAGCUUUUGAGAAUUGUGGUUAAACUCCUUUGAUAAAGCUCUUGUUGGCACCAUAAAUUGGUUUUGCUUCACAUUGUCUUGAUCAAGAGUGUGAAGCUUUCUACGAGUUGUAGUGUUUGCAUUGUUACAGAAGGGAAAUGUUUGAAGCAGAUGCAAGAGGGCUGAAUAGCUUGAUCUUCAUAUGCCAUGUACUAAAGUUGUUGUUGGCUUGCAAUAAGACUUUGUUGGUGACUAUAACUCUUGUU
rnacentral:lncRNA from 1 species